rnacentral:lncRNA from 1 species
AAAAACGAAAUAAAAUUCGAAGAAAUAAAAAAAAGGCCCCAUCAUCGUUCGACCCUCAUCCACAUCUCCAUGCUUCUGAGAUGUUUGGACUCUCAUCGGCGUCGGUUCAAAUAUUUCUUUCUUUUAUGCUAAAAUCGCAAGCAAAUGAGAAGAAAACCAAAAAAAUAAACAGACUUGAAAAUCACCUUUUGAUUUGUGAUUUCUGCUUUUUCUAUUGAUCUCUUUGUUGUAUGUGUAUAUAGUAUGCAUGCGUAAAAAAAAUACAAUGGAUUAUCUAUGGCUUUAUAGCUGAAAUGUUCAAAAAUAAAAAUACAAUUUUUCUUUUUCUUUCGUAUUGGUCGUUGCUGCUACUGUUUACUUGUUUUUUUUUCGCAGGUACGGAGUGUGUGCUGGCACUUGGCGUGAGGCGUACGGAGGCGCGUGUGGCGAUCGUACAGUGCUGGGGGCUGCGGCACGGUUUGGCUAGGGUUUUCCUUCCUGAAAUCAGAAAUUAGAUCGUUUGGGUCAUUGGGCCAUUUCUGUAUUUGGGCCUCUGGGUUCAUUGGGUUAAGAUUAUUAGGCUAUUCGGGUUAGGUUUAGUUCAGGCCCGAGAAUUUGUAAAUGAACUUUUAAAUUCUGACUGUUAUAAGAUUUGGAUUUUAUAUUUAUUUUGUAUUUCGAUUUUGAUGUGGACCCGAGCAAAUUGGCCCGUUUACAGCUGCCUAUCUUUGCUCAUUGUCAUGUAACGAGAAUAGAGCAAAGACUUCAAAGAGGGCCAAUUUUGCCCGGUCUCGCGGAAUCAUGACUUCUUUGGUGUUCUUCUUCUUCGAGGUAGCCUCGUUCCGAUCCUCUACAACUUCAGAGAUAUAGGAAUUGUUGCUCCUAUCUACUUCACCGUAACUCUAGAGAGACUAGCCUUGUAGCUUUUAAUCUGCUCUACCGCAAUUGCUCCACUGCAACCUCAGGGAGAUAUGGUUCGUAUAUUUUUAUCCUGCUCUACUGCAACUUCAGAGAGAUAAGCAUUGUGAUUUCGAUCUGCUUCACUGCAACUUUAAGGAGAUAAGAUCUGUUAACUUUAUUCUGUUCCACUGCAACUGCUCCAUUGCAACUUAGGGAGAUAAGAUCUACAAUCUUCGGCCUAUUACCCUACUACUUAGGGGGUUAAGGCUCACUAUCUUCGAUUUGCUCCAGUACUGCUUAGGGAGACAAGAUCUACAAUCUUUAGCCUGUUACCCUACUACUUAGGGGGUUAAGGCUCACUGUCUUCGAUCCGCUCCACUAUUGCUUAGGGAGAUAAGAUCUGUGAAUUCACUGAUGUUGCUACACUGUCUUCUAGGAACAUGAUCUGUAGAAUCGGUUUUCUGUACCUAUGCUUAUGCCAAAUGAUUAGGAUGCCAUGAUCAAAAUGAGUCAAAUGCUCCUAACUAAAUGAAUGAUUAUGAAUGUAGAAAUGUCAUGAGAGUGAUUCCUUUUUAAAUGCUUAAGGUAUCAUUGCUCAUAGUUCAUCAGGGUUCUAUCAUUGAUGUGCUAUCGUGUCUUCUUGUUUGGCCAGUAUCUUUGCAGAAAAUUUGAAGAAAUAGUCACAAUUUGGACUAUUUGUUUUCCAAUGUUUCCAACUUUUGAAUCUGGUUAAUCCUGACUAGUGGCCCUGUUUUAGGUCAUUGUACUAUUGAGAGACCUUCUAGAGUAAUAUGCAUAACUUCUUUUGUAUGAAUAUUAUAAGUCCAAAAAUUGUGAUUUUAACAAAAAUGCUCGAAAGAGACUAUCAUAAUGGACAAGAUGGAAUUUUAUUGAGCAAAACUCAAAGUGAAUAAAUUAAACAGGAUAGCAAAUCUGCUAAGGUACAAAAUAAGAUGAGAAAAAAGGUGCCCCAGAUAUCGCAGCACGAGCUUCACUAUUUCGACUUCUCAAAGGUCAUUUCGAGCUAAAUAUGUGUUCAGGAGAUCCCGCGUAUUUUGUUGAUGCUCCAAGAUGUACUGUUCUUCCUUCUUGUUAAUUUGGGAGGACAAUACUACCACAUGCCCUGUAUUCAAAAUUUGAGCUGCUCGUUUUCGGGUUUUCAACUCAAAAACCCCUUUGGUCUCAAAGCGCCCUUUGCGGGUUUUCACCUUGGCCUCUCCAUAUUUUUUUUUGGAAGGUCUUAAAGCACCCUAUGUGGGUUUUCACUUUGACCUCUUUCCCUCUUUAAGUGUAGUACUUCUUGACGGAAUUUGAAUUCACAGGAUUGGACAGGUUUUUCCCAUCUAUUUUGGCUAGAAUUAAUUCUCCUCCGGAGAAAGCUUUCUUCACCACGUAAGGCCCCUCCCAAUUGGGCAUCCAUUUUCCUCUAAAAUCCUUCUGUAUAGGAAAGAUUUUUUUCAGAACCAGAUCUCCCUCAUGAAACUCUCUUGGGUGAACCUUUUUGCCAUAAGCCCGCAUCAUUCAUUUUUGGUACAUUUGACCAUGACGGGUAGCUCUUAGCCUUUUUUCUUCAAUCAAGUUCAAUUGAUCGUAUCGAGACUGGAUCCACUCUGCUUCAUCUAACUUUAGCUCCGACAACACUCGAAGGGAUGGGAUCUCGACUUCGAUUGGCAAAACCGCUUUCAUUCCGUAGACCAAAUAGAAAGGUAUUGCCCCAGUAGAGGUUUUGACUGAUGUUCGAUAAGUAAAGAUGGAAAAUGGUAACUUCUUAUGCCAAUCUUUUUAGGUUUCAGUCAUCUUCCCCACAAUCUUCUUAAUGUUUUUAUUGGCUGCUUCCAUUGUCCCAUUCAUUUUCGGGUGAUAUGGUGACGAGUUGUGGUGUCUGAUCUUGAAUUGACUGCAGACUUCCGCUAUUGUACUAUUGUUCAAGUUUAAUGCAUUAUCAGAUAUGAUCCUCUCCAGCAUUCCAUAUCGACAUAUGAUCUCCUUUUUUAGGAAUUUGCUCACUGCCGACUUUGUAACAUUGGCAUAUGAAGCGGCUUCUACCCAUUUGGUGAAGUAGUCGAUAACCACAAAGAUGAACAGAUGCCCAUUGGAAGCUUUCGGUGAUAUUGGUCCAAUCACAUCCAUACCCCACAUAGAGAAAGGCCAUGGGGAAGUCAUGACAUGCAGCGGUGAAUGAGGCACAUGAAUUUUGUCUCCAUAGAUUUGGCAUUUAUGACAUCUCUUUGAGUAAUGGACACAGUCUCCUUCCAUAGUGGACCAAUAAUACCCGAAUCUCAUAAAUUUCCUGGCCAUUCUAAAGCCAUUAGCGUGUGUCCCACAGAUGCCCUCAUGGACUUCUUACAAGAUUUUCUUAGCCUCUACAGCGUCUACGCAUCUUAAUAGUACUUGAUCCUUUCUUCUUUUGUAUAGGAUCUCCCCAUCUAAGACAUAGUCAAUGGCCAAUCUUCUCAGCGUCCUUUUGUCAUUCUCGCUUGCCUAGUCCGAGUACUCACGAUUCCUUACGUAUUGCAAUAUAUCGUGAUACCAUGGGUGAUCAUCUUUUUCUUCAUCUUCUUCAAUAUUGUAACAGUGAACCGGAGUUUCAUAAAUGCUCAUCCGGAUGGGUUUGACAUAUUCUUGUUUGUUUACCUUGAUCAUGGAAGCUAAGGUGGCCAAAGCAUCAGCCAUCUAAUUUUCGUCCCGUGAAAGGUAGCAGAAGGUAAUGUCAUCGAACUCUUUAACCAAUUCAAGGACCAGUUUUUGAUAAUCGAUCAACUUGGGAUCUCUGGUCUCCCAUUCUCCCUUGAGUUGAUAAAUCACUAAUGCAGAAUCUCCAUACACCUCUAACUCUUUAAUCUUAUGUUCUAUGGCUGAACGGAUACCUAUGAUGCACGCUUCGUAUUCUGCCAUGUUAUUCGUACAAUCAAAAUCCAAUUUACUAGUAAAUAGAUAAUGAUCUCCGUUUGGGGAUACCAAGACUGCCCCGAUUCCAUUGCCCACAGCAUUUGAUGCCCCAUCGAAGUUUAGUUUCCAGGAAAGUUCUUCCAGAGCACCUUCUCCAGUGGUCGCAACACACAUCAGGUCUUCAUUCGGAAAAUCGAAGUUCAAGAGCUCAUAAUCUUCCAAAGCUCUACUGGCCAGAAAAUCUACUAUUGCACUCUAUUUUACUGCUUUCUGGUUCACAUAGACUAUGUCGAAUUCAGAGAGCAGAAUUUGCCAUCGGGCCAUCCUUCUAUUCAAAGCUGUUGACUCCAUCAUGUACUUAAAGGGUCCAGUUUUGAGAUGAGCCAAGUAGUGUGAUACAACAUAUACUGUCUCAACCUUCGGAUUGUCCAAACCAAGGCACAACACAACUUUUUUAUCAGCGGACAUCUUAUCUCACAUUCAGUAAACUUUUUACUAAGAUAGUAAUAGCUUUUUCUUUCCUUCUUGACUCAUCAUGCUGACCAAGUACGCAUCCCAUAGAAUUCUCAAAUACUGCCAAAUACAGUAUCAAUGGCUUAUCGGGGUUAAGUGGCAUCAGCACCGGAGCGUUGGAUAAGUACUGUUUGACCUUGUCGAAAGCCCUUUGGCAUUCUUCAUCCCAUACACCUAGGUUAUGUUUCUUGAGGAGGUGGAAAAUGGGGUCACAUUUUUCGGUUAGUUGUGAAAUGAACUGAGUGAUGUAAUUUAAUCUUCCUAGAAAGUCUCGAACCUCUUUUUGGGUACGCGGUAGAGAUAGCUCUUGUAUGGCUUUGACUUUGUCUGGAUCGAUCUCAAUUUCUUUCUCACUAACCACGAAUCCGAGAAGCUUUUCAGACUUGGCUCCGAAGGUACAUUUGGUUGGAUUGAGUUUUAGCUGAAACUUCCUCAACCUGAAGAACAACUUCCUCAAGACUUGUACGUGCUCCUUCUCUGUUCGGGACUUUGCGAUCAUAUCAUCGACAUAAAAUUUGAUUUAUUUGUGCAUCAUGUCGUGAAUCAGGGUUACCAUGACCCUUUGAUAUGUUGCCCCUGCUUUUUUCAGUCCAAAUGGCAUCACAUUAUAGCAGAACGUGCCUCACAUGGUUACAAACGUAAUCUUCUCCAUGUCUUCAGGAUGCAUCUUGAUCUAGUUAUAUCCAGAGAAACCGUCCAUGAAGGAAAACAGUGAGUGUCCUACCGUGUUGUCCACUAAGGUGUCGAUAUGAGGCAGUGAGAAAUUAUCUUUCAAGCUAGCGUUAUUCAAAUCUCUGUAGUCUAUACAUAUUUGUACUUUUCCAUCCUUCUUAGGGACGGGGACGAUGUUAGCUACCCAUUCUGAGUAUUUUACCACCUUUAAAAAUUCAGCGUCAAACUACUUUCUAACCUCUUCUUUUAUUUUUUAGCAAGAUGUCGGGCCUCAUUCUUCGGAGUUUUUGUUGAACUGGCUUACAUUCUUCUUUUAUAGGGAGUCGGUGCACCACAAUAUCAGUGUUUAACCCAGGCAUAUCUUGGUGUGACCAUGCAAGACAUCUUUGAAUUCUUGAAGUAAUUCGAAAAUGUCUCACUUCAUCCCCAUGGUGAUACAAGUUCCGAUCUUCACCUCUUGUCCCUCUCAUAAGAUUACAAUUUCUACUAAUUCUUUGUGAGGUAGGAUUUGUUCCUCGUCUUGUUUUACUAUCCUCAACAAAUCAGGGGAUAUGUUACAGCCUUGGUCAUCUUCAAAAUCCUGAGAAUCCUCCAUACACAUAUCUCGCUCAAAAGGAGACUCUGAGCCACUAGCAGUGUCACUCGUAUCAUUGAUAUCUAGGGACCUGUUAUAAGGAUGAAGGAAGAUACAAAGAACCAAAAGAUAUGGUAUGAUUAUGAAUGAAGAACGAAAGGAUAUUUAGAAGAAUGUUCGAAGGACAAAAGAAUCCGAAAGUAAUCAUUUGUAUAAUAUGAUUAUGAAUGAAAAGGAAAGAAUGAAAGAAUAUCUGCUCAAAAUGAUAAUAAUUGUGCAUUUUAUUAAAAUAACAUUUUUGAACAUAAGCCUAUUUCACAAAAGAUUCUUAUUACUUCUAGGCCUAGAGCAAUAAGUGUGUUUUGGACAUUACUCUGAGUCAGCUCUAAAAACUACAGGAAUCUCUUCCACAGUCCAGUUAUCCAGAAUACUUCCAGGUAUGUAGGGGUAAAUAUCCGACAAAUUUUUUCCUCCAGCCCCUUCAUCGUAUGUGGCGUUGAUGUCUAAGUUUUCUAACUUUUCUUCUAUGGCUUCCUUUCUUGGCGUGCCCCGCUCGGGAUGAAUGAUUCCUCCAGACACAAAAGUUUUCGAUAUAUGGGGGAAUAUCAUUGGCUCCCAUUUGAUUUUCUCUCCCUUCAACCGUGCUUUUCUUCUUUCUUGUUUCUUUUCCAGCUCAUUUUUCCUUUGUCUCACAUCCGACUUAAAUCCUAAGCCGAAGCGGUCUCUCUUGUCCUUCAAUACUAGCAUUUCAACCCUUCCUUGAAGAUGUCUCUUGAGUCCUCUUCCCGGUAAAGCUCCUUUUCUAACCAUCAACUGUAGACUCAUCCUUGUAGUUUUGGAUAAUUUCAGCGUCAGGAUCUUGCUUCUUCAGUAAUAAAUGUCGCAUUAAAAAAUUCUAAAGACCGAAAUGAGCAUUCGAUUGCUUCGUUAUCUGUCUUUAAAUAGGGUGCAUCACUGCUUACAGUUGCAAUAAUAUCCUCUUCAGCAUUUAUCGUUAUCAACCGCCCCUCUGAUACUAACUUCAACUUCUGAUGCAACGAUGAAGGCACUACCCCAGCUGAAUGUAUCCAGGGCCUCCCCAAUAAGCAGUUGUAUGAAUGCUUAAUAUUCAUCACCAGAAAAUCCACCUCAUAUGUGUUUGGUCCGAUCAGAAGAGGUAUCUCAAUUCUUCCCAUCACCUUUCUCUCUGUGCCAUCUAAUGCCCUCAUUAUAUUCUGGCACUCUUUUAUGUGAGAGCUGUCUACAGGUAAUCUGUUUAGUGUGGACAGUGGUAGGAUAUUCAAGGCUGACCUGUUGUCAAUCAGUACUCCUGGCAGCGUAUACCCUUUAUAACACGUGGUGAUAUGUAAAGCUUUAGUCGACCCUAUGCCACUGGGUGGUAUCUCAUCGUCGUUGAAGAAGAUAAAGUUAUCGGCACUUAUGUUGCUAACUAAGCGAUCUAACUUGUUGACGAAGAUAUCAUUGGCAACAUAUGUUUCAUUCAAAACUUUCAUCAGCGCGUUGCGAUAGACCUCUAAACUUAGGAGUAAGGCCAGCACCGAGAUAUGAGCUGGUUGUUUAUGCAGCUGUUCCACAACACUGUACUCGCUGUGCUUUAGAAAUUUUAAAAACUCCUUAGCCUCAUCUUCGUUAACUGGUUCAUUAACAAGAAGUUCAUAUUUGGCCGUUUUUUUCCUUCUUCUGAUGACCACUAUGGCUUUUCCUUUUGAGGGUUUUACUUUCUCGCUUGCUGUAUCGUAGCAUCACCCCCUACGCGUAGAGGAGCCCAUAUCUUGGUCCUCUUUUGAAGCGUCAUCCAGGUUCUCUUUUCCUGGGAUCGUCACGUUACAAUCGUAAUUCCAUAAGACCCUCUUACUGUUUUUAUAGGAGAAGACUGCAGGUCUUUGGAUUAUGACCCUUGGUGGCUUUUGCACUCCCAUUUCAUUAUUUUUAGGUCAUGAUAUGAUGACCACAGGGUAGUUAAUUGUUUGGUUCUGAGCUGUCAAUUCUCCCUCUGACGCGCAUAUAUCUCCUUCUUCGGGGUUUUCGAUUUCUUUAUAAAACUCCAUUUCUCUAUUGUUCAUCAUGUCCUGUACCAGGGCCCUGAACUCCACACACUCUUGAAUUUCAUGCCCCACCUUAUUGUGGAACUCACAGCAGUUCCUCUCUUCUUCAGAUUCUUCUCUCGAAUCCAACACGAUCAAUCCUCUCUUGACCAUCUCCUUCCACACCCGUCUCAAUGGGGUCCUGACUUCUGCAACCUCAUAUUUGAUCUUCUUGCUUCUGCUUUCGUUUAUCCCGUUUACUCCUUGGUCCGUAUGAUUGGGGAGCGGGUUUCCUGCUACAUUGGGUACGACUGGGUCGUCAAACCUUACAAUACCCCUUUAAUAAAUCUUUCAAAUAGUUUCUUGAACGCGGUGCAGUUUUCAGUUGAAUGCCCGGUGAUUCUUGCAUGGUAUUCGCAUUGGGCAUUUGUGUCAUACCAUUUGAGAAACGGGGGUUGCAGUGGCUUCAGGUGGAAAGGGGACACUACAUGAGCGUUGAAUAGGUUCUGGUACAGUUCCCUAUAUGUCAUGGGUAUAGGCGUGAAUUGUAGCCUUUCUGUGUUCGCCCUCACGCUAGAUUCUUGUCUCACAGUGCUAUGUUGAUUGGCAGUCACCGUCUUUGGUUGGUUUACAGUGAGUGACUUGGACUGACCCUUGCUAAAUGUACUCGUGUUGUUUACUUCGUUAUCUCUUUUCCUCGGGGCUAAUCUUUUGGUACUUUCUCCUACUUCUAUUUUACCACUCCUCACAGUAUUUUCAAUCAUUUCACCUGUCAUCACUAUGUCUGAUAAGCUUUUAGUGGCACUCCCUAACAUAUGAGUGAUAAAAUGAGCCUUCAAAGUGUUGAUAAAGAGCAUUGUGGUUUCUUUUUCUAAAAGCGGUGGCUGAACUUGUAUGGAAACUUCUCUCAAUCUUUGCAUAUAUUGUCUGAAACUUUCAUUUGGUUUCUUCUCCAUAUUCUGGAGAGUAAUCCUGUCAGGAGUCAUAUCCGUCACAUGACUAUACUAUUUCAUAAAGGUUUAAGCUACGUCUUUCCAUGAGUUAAUCUUAGCACGACUCAAUUGGUUAUACCAUUUGGAUGCCGACCCAACCAGACUGUCCUGAAAGCAGUGAAUCAAUAGCUGGUCAUUGUUGAUGUAUCCAGUCAUUCGUCUGCAAAACAUAGUAAUAUGAGCUUCAGGGCAGCUCGUUCUAUUGUAUUUCUCAAAUUUCGACAUUUUAAACUUGGGGGGUAGAACCAAGUCUGGGACCAAACUCAGGUCCUUAGUGUCAAUUCCGUGAUGACUAUCAGCACUUUUCAUUGCCCGAAAUUUUUCCUCUAGCCAUUUAUGCUGUUUCUCUAAUUGCUUCUGUGAUUCUAUCCUUGCCUUUUCCUCCUCCGCGACUUCAUCUAAAUCAGGAAUGAGUGGAUAAUUCGAGUUAUUAACAAGGUUAAAGCCUGAGCCAGCUUAGAAAUUCAUUGGUAUCGAAGCUCCGGCCUGAAUCUGUUGAGGCCUGAUCGUAACAAAUGGUCUCUGUAGAUUAAUUUCAGGUUGUAUCGGUACAUGUGUCGGAGUAAAGCCAGGAGGAUAUUGAGGGUCUUCAUUAUUUUCCCCAACAUUGUCCAUGGGACCCUUUCCUUUAUCCAUUAUUCCCAUCAGCAAUUGGAACAACUGACUCAUCAUCUCUCUUUGAGAUUCCAUCAUUUGCUCUUUUAUCUCUUGCUGAAUCUUGGCUAGCUACUCUUGCAUCUGUGACUGCAUUUGUUCAUGCAUGUCCUUUUGCAUUUGCUCUAAUUUCUCAAGUCUUUUGUCCAUUGACUUGGUCUUUUUCCUUGUACUGUAAGGGUGAGUAGUUGGUUGGUUUUCGUUGGUUUCCAGAUUACUAUAAUAAUUUUUAAUUGAUUAGAAUCUUUUUAUGACUUUUAAUGCAUAUGAUAUAAUGCAAUACAAAUGCAUGAAUGCAAAGGAGGCAUCAAUUCUGAUUCAAUUCCCUUUAAAAAACUUCACUAGAAAAUAAGAUUCUUUACAUAAAACUGAGUUACAAAUAAAACUUCGCCCUAAUGCUUAGAGCCUUAAUUUUCCUAAGCAACGAGGCUAGCUCCUGCCCCCGAUCUGACUCCAACUCAUGCUUCACGCUCAGUAUGUCCGCUUGUACCGCUAAAGCUUGCAAAUAUUCGGCUACCUCCCAAAUCUGGGCUAUGGCUUCCCCCAUAAUGUAAUCCCUGUUCCUGACUUGGUCUUGUGCAUGGUGAAGCUGUUCCUUCCAACAUUCCUCACUUGCUUCAAAAAACUAGAUCCGCAUCUCAGCUUUGUAGUGACACUUCUAAUUCUUAUACUUUUCCUUUCAUUUCUUCCACCUUACUCAAGCUUGCCCUCAACUCCGUUACGGUAUUAUGGCUUCAGCACUGAUAAAGAGACUUCUCAAGUUCUGCCACUCUAGCUCUUAAUUCACCUCGUUUAUUUCUGCUUUCUGAUAGAAUCUUCUCUAAAUCCUCAUUUCGUGCCUGAGCCUCUCGAAAUUUUCUUUCCCAUCGGUCGGCUUUGGUUUUUUCCUUUCGAAUUUAAUGGCGCCAUUAUUCUGAAGUUUUGCCUAACCCAGCAGUUCUCAUAGACAGGUGUAACUUCUUAUAAUCCGUCUUCAAACUAUCUAGAUCCUCUUCGCCUUACUUUUUCCUUUUCUCCACUUCUCAGCCUCUGACCUCUAAGCGUCUACGUCUAAUCUCAGAUGUAUCUUUUCUUCCUCCAAUUGUUCGAUCUUUUUCCCAAGCUCAGAACUCUUCUUUUCAAAGUCUUGCUUUAUAAUUUCCAACUCUGACGGGACAACUUGUAAUUGUUCCUCCACAGGUCGAGUAUCUUCUACACUUAGUCUAAGAAUAUUGUCAUUGACCCUUUUUAUAAACCAUCUGUUGUAUUUAGGUGUCACCAUGGAACCAACAGCCAACCUCUUCAUCCAGCGAGUUUUCUUCCAAGCAUCAGAUAGUUCCCGAACCUUCUUCUUAUAGUGGUCACCUUUAAAGGAGAAUUCACACUGAGUAAGCCCGUAAGUCGUGGGUACAAACUGCCUCGAUUUAUAUUACCUUAAUGCAAGCAAUGGAGUAUACCCAGUAGCUCCCCAAAUUCUUAACAACGGUACCCAAUCAAAGUUCCCACAUUGAUACAGGAUUUCAUCAGGAACAAAUCCAAUAAGCUCUCCACUCUAUAUCCAUCUCCUUGAGGUUUUGGAGGAUUUCCAUCCACUUCUCCUCUGAUAUAUCCUCUCUCCUUUGUAUGGCUGCCUCCUCCUUUAACGGGGAAUAACCUUCGGAAAAGACCUGGUAAGAAAUCUUGUCUACUUUCCAAAAAUGCCCAUGAAACCACAUCAUCAACAGUUGUGCAUAUCCAAUAAACUGCCCCUCGCCUGUCUUCCGACACAUGCUCAAGGAUCUGAACAUCUCAGCCAAGAUUGCAGGUACAUGUGUGAUUCCGUUUUUAAACCGAUCGAAUAAGUUAGUGACUACCUCAUCCACAUGCCUUAAAGCCUUAAGAAAAAUGACCAAUCCAUAGAUGCUUAAGGCGAAGAUAUCGACCCUCUUUCUUUCAUCCGGGUGUGUUAAAACCAAAUCUCUCAAAUUUUCCUAAGGGAUACAUUUACUAUCCCCCUUCUGUUGAAUCCGAGCGGUAACCCAAGGCUCGCUCAUCCCUGAAAUAUUCAUCAAUUUCUUCGCGAAAGUUUGACCAUUAAAAACCUUGGCAUAAGCUUUCCUAACUUGAAUUUUUGGACACUUGAGUAGGGUAGUAUAUUCCUCUAUGGUAGGCACUAAAUCCAUUUCCCCAAAAGUGAAACACUUGUAAGCAGAAUUCCAAAAUUGAACCAUAACUCGGAACAGAUGCUUGUCCACUUUAACAUCUAGCAAAUAGGAUAUAUCACCAUAGCUUUGAUAGAACAACUGUUUGGUUCCUUCCCAUAUAUCUCUCAACUCUUGCAACUCAUUUUGUGUUACAUUGACGCGAGUGAAUUCCUGCAACUCUGAUGUAUAUCCUUCUGCCAAGCUAUCCCCUUUUUCUAACUGUAACUUCUCUGACCAUGCGCGGACGGCCGCAUUAUCCUCAACUUUAUUAAGAAAUUCAUUCUCUAUGUUAAACUUUCUAACUUAGUAAUCGAAUACGAAUCAACACCUCCUUUAGUAUGCAAUGUCAUGCAAAACACAAUCAAAACAAAACACAAGUUAGUAUCAAAUAUAAGUGAUAAAAUACUAGCACAACAAAGAUAGUUAUAACACACAUAUGGGCAAAUACUAAGUCUUGAUGCGGCUCUACCUAAGAGUAGCUCUUAAGGUCCACUAUAUAUGGUUCGAUUUUAGAGAUAAGGUACCUGAACCAGCAGAUUCCUCAAUCCUCACCCAUUAUAGGCUCAUAUGGAUCGAGUUCGAUUCAGGGGAAUACAUUUCCCUAUGACCAUGCGGAGAUGAAAAUCUCACGAAAUCAUAAGUACGGAUGUAUCCCAGAAGCAAUCCACUAGCCCAUUCGGAGGUGAAAACCUCACGAAAGCAUAGUUUCUUACUCCCACUUAGAAGGUGUGACCACAGCGGUAAUGCAAUGCAAUGCAGUAUUAUUCUACAAGAUCCGAACCAUAACGAUCAUACAAUCAAAUGCAAUUGGAAGAAUCAUGAUUUUCAAAACAAAUUUUCAAUUUCUUUGACAAAAGGACAACGAAUAAUCAAUUUUAUGGCUUGACUCUCUUGUUCGUUUCCCCAGUGGAGUCGACAAGCUGUCGAAACUAUUUUUUUUAUUUUGAAUUUGAAAACAACGUGGAUUGACUUUAAAAAACGAAAAUGUGGAGUCGCCACCAAUCCUUUUUGUUUAGGUGAGAUUGGAUCACCUAAUAAAAUAUUUUAUUCCAUUUAAAUCAAUUUUGGCCUACGUAAAUUUGAGAAAACGGGUUCGGGAGCCGGUUACGUAUGAGGAAGGAUUAGAACCCUCACUACGCCCAAAAUUGGUACCAAAUCGAUUAAGUACUGUCCUUAUGUCUAAGUUUUAAAGCUGUUUUUGAAAUAUAGUUCCUUUUGAAGCAUUUGAAUGGCUCAAGUUGGUCGUCAAAAUUCUCUUGUUUCAGAGGAAUACAGCAUCCCAUCCAGCACGAUAGGACACAAUCCUUUAUACUCUCGAAAACACGAUACAUUUUGACUUCCAAAAGUUUAUAUGUUAAAAAUUACAAAAAGAUACCCAAUUAUUUAGUCCAACGAAAAAACCAAAACCCAGGACAGUAGGUCACGAUUCCUCGAAUUUCUAGACAUUGAACAUUGCCUUGUUUUAGAAUUUUUAAAACAUGAGUGAAAUUCUAAAGGAAUAUUCGAUUAUUUUGAACAAAAGGGAAAUUGCAACCCAACAUGAUAGGGCACGAUUCUCCGAAUUCUCAAACAUCGAACAUUGCCUUCGCUUUAAAGAAUUUUUAAAACAUGAGAGAAAUUCUAAAGGAAUAUUCGAUUAUUUUGAACAAAUGGGAAAUUGCAACCCAGCACGAUAGGGCACGAUUCCCCGAAUUCUCAAGCAUCGAACAUUGCCUUCGCUUUAAAGAAUUUUUAAAUGAAUAAUUAUAAAACCAACUUAAAACGUAUUAAUUUUACUUGAAAUAGAAUGAAAUAAUUAGUUUUAAAGAAUUGGACCUUAUAAAACAACAUUUCGUAAAUCAAAAGAAAAAUAAAAGCAUGGGAUAAUAUGUAUCCAUAAAAUACAAUGAUAGUUGAAUGAAGAUAAUAUAUCUUAUUUAAUCGGCUAACAAAAUAAACACUUAAAUAUAACUAACCUAAAAAAUAUAAUCCAAUUUCAAUCAUGUGUGGAGAAUAAUUGAUAUAACAAUACAAAAAAAUGAAUAAAUAAUAUGAACGACAAUGUACAUAGUAUAAUAUAAAAACCAUUAACAUAAGAUGCAUGGAACAAGAUGUUAAUUAGGAGUCAAUGUGGUAUAAGUCAAUUCUAAAACAAUAACGAUCUAAUGAACCCAUAAUUUAUACGACAUACGAAUUAAUGAAUUGAUGAAUUUAAAACUAUUUGUAAAAAAAACAAGCUAGAGAUAUAUACGUAAUUAUUAAAAUAUGUGUCAUAAAUUAAAUAUUUUAAAAUCAAAUAGUAUAUAAAGUGUUAAAGAAUAUUAGUUUAAAAUUGACAAUUUUCAUACAAUAAAGGAGAAUUUAAUUUAUUUAUAAAAUAUGAAAAGAUAAUAAAAAUAUAUAAUGAAAUAUAAUCUUGGGAGAUAAACCAUACGCAUCAUAGAUUUACAAAUCAUAUAUAAAUUUAGAAAUAAUUAUUUAUAAAAAAUAACAUGGAAACACAUACAAGAUUAAAUUAAUAUUACUAUAUAUGUACAGAUAUAUAAAAAAACAUUUAAAUGAGAUACUAUCUAAUAUAAUAAAAGAAUACGUUAUAAUGACUUUCAAAAUAAUGAUUUUAUAAACAAAAAAUAAAUUUUAAAACAAUGAUUUAACCAUUAAAAUAAUAUAUAUACGAAUAUACACAAAAAUGUCUAAAUGAGACAUUGUAUAUAUAAUAUGAUAAAACCAACUUCAAAAUAAUAAUAUAAAUAAAAAAACAAAGCAAAAUUAAUAAAAUAGAUAAAAAUAUUAAAUGAAUUUUAAAAUAAUAAGUAUUUCAAAUAGAAAGCUUAAUAAAAUAAACUUAAAAAUGAAAGGGAUAAUUUAUAAAUAAAAGAAACCAAAAUAGGAGUCGGCGCGCAAUACAUGUAAAUGUAUAAUGACUAAAACUGGAAAUAAUCUAGGCCCCAAAAAGCAGUGCAGUAUCGCAGACUCAAAUGAAUACGCGCACGAAUUAAUGAGCCAAAUUAAAAAAAAAAAACAAAGUAAAAGAAAUAAGGCGCAAUUGAAUGCUCGCGCGAAAGAAAGGAUCUAACGCGCAAAUUCCCCACUUCGAAUGAAAAGGCGCAGAUCCGACCUGUUAAUCGGGUUGACGCGCGGACCCUUCCUGUUUUAAACGGCGUCGUUUUUUAAGAAAGGAUUUAAUGCCUUUUUCUUUUCUUCUUAAAAUGCAGCAAAUCAUUUAAAUAAUAAAAAAAAAACAACGCGAUCAACCCACUCAAUUAGGGUUUCAUCUAGCAUGCUGCCGCCGUGUCCUCAUUAUUUUGGUGGCCGACGAUGCGUGAACGGUGGCCAGAUCUUACCAACGGAGGCCACGACAAUAGAGAUCUGGUAAGGUUUUUUUUUUCUUAUUUUUAAAAAAAACCUUCAAACCCUACACUAUUUUGUAAAAAAAACGAAACAAAAUUUGAAGAAAUAAAAAAAGGCCCCAUCAUCGUUCGACCCUCGUCCACAUCUCCAUGCUUCUGAGAUGUUUGGACUCUCAUCGGCGUCGGUUCAAAUAUUUCUUUCUUUUAUGCUAAAAUCGCAAGCAAAUGAGAAGAAAACCAAAAAAAUAAACGGACUUGAAAAUCACAUUUUUAUUUGUGAUUUCGGCUUUUUCUAUUGAUCUCUUUGUUGUAUGUAUGUAUAGUAUGCGUGCGUAAAAAAAAUACAAUGGAUUAUCUAUGGCUUUAUAGCCGAAAUGUUCAAAAAUAAAAAUACAAUUUUUCUUUUUCUUUCGUAUUGGUCGUUGCUGCUGCUGUUUGCUUGUUUUUUUUCGCAGGUACGGAGCGUGUGCUGGCACUUGGCGUGAGGCGUACAGAGGCGAGCGUGGCAGUCGUACGGUGCUGGGGGCUGCGGUGCGGUUUGGCUAGGGUUUCCCUUCCUGAAAUCAGAAAUUGGGUCGUUUGGGUCAUUGGGCCAUUUCUGUAUUUGGGCCUCUGGGUUCAUUGGGUUAGGAUUCUUAGGCUAUUCGGGUUAGGUUUAGUUCAGGCCCGAGAAUUUGUAAAUGGACUUUUAAAUUUGGACUGUUAUAAGAUUUGGAUUUUAUAUUUAUUUUGUAUUUCGGUUUUGAUGUGGACCCAGGCAAAUUGGCCCGUUUACAUAAUACAUCAAAUACAUUAAAAAUGUUAAAAUAAAUGUUUUCUAACAAAUUAAAAAUAACAUUAAGAUAGUUACAAUUUUGCAAGCAAAUGCAUCUAAAAUAGAAGAAAAAGUAACAAUAAAAUUAGAGUUUUACAAUAUCUAAAUAAUAACAACAAAAUAGUAGCAAUAUAAUAAUAAAAUAAUAUCAAAACAACUUAAUCGGGCCGGGCUAAGCUUGGACAGAAAAAUUCUACCCAUUAAGAAAUAAAGUCUUAUUUUUUUGUCAAAAUUUACUUUUUUGACCUAUAUUUUUGUUUAAAUUCUUUCACUUCUCGAGUGGGCCUUUCGAAUCUAGAUAGAUUAUCUAACUCAUAAUCAAGUCUAAAUUAAAAGAGUAUUCAUUUUUAAAAUAUAUAUAAUGGAUAAUCUGAAUAUCCAAUCUGCAUAGGCAUGAAACACAAAUAUCAUAUAGGAAUAUUUUCAGAAAAAAUGAAAAAAGAAUCAUUACAAACGUACCUUAAAAAAUGUCCUACAAACAUACUUUAAAAUGUCAAAAGUAAAAUAUUUCAAGAAAGAUCUGAGUGCAAUAAUAAAUAAAUUCAAAAAAAAAAAAAGUUUCUAAGUGAACCUAAACAAAGAAUGAAUAAAUAUAAUAGCUAAUGAUGAUUAAAAACAUGGCGUAGGCCAUGAACAUAUAUGCUAAAAUGAAGCAGAACUGGUACGCCGCAGCUGGUACUUUGGCACUGUAUCAUUUGUAUUUGCCGACAACACCAUCUCCACUUCCUGUUUAAACAACACUCGGAACUCAGUUUCGGAUAGUGUUUCACAUUUAUAUUCUUAAUUUGUUUUGUAUAUUAAAAAGAUUAAUUUCCUAUAUUUAUGUUCGAAUAUGGCUCGUAUAUGGGUGUUUCAGAGAAAAUGGAAAGUCUAGGCAACAUAGUUGCAGGGUGGGGGUGAUUAAAUUUUCAUACAUGAAGAGCCUUUUUUAUCCUAAUCAAGUUAAUAUGAAAUUUUACAGCUUGCUUUGAGAACCUAUGAUAUUGAUCAUCAAAAGCUUCAUAGCCAUCCAAUCAAAGGAAAUAAAAAAAAACCUGUUAUUACUUUAUUUCUUUAAAACAUUUCUGAAAACGAAACUGGACCUUCUUGUUUAUCAAUUAUCAAACCAGUUUAUGUUUUCUAAGGCCAUAAAAUUGGUCUGAGAACAAGGCAUUUACCCUAUGGAUUCCCAGUUUUUUGUUAAUUUCAUCAAUGGUUAACAAAAGAUCAAAAGGAUUUUCAUACCAGAAGUGAAGAAGAAAGAUAAUGCUAAUAAAGUUAGAAUUGUCUACUUCAAAGCCAGCAAAGUGGUUCAUGAUCCUAUUAGACCAAGUAUGCUAUGAAUGCUGUUAAUAAAGCAUAUACUUCACAAAAAAAAAAAAAAAAGGUUCAAGUAAGGUACCUUUUGCCUUUUGAGCCAGCUAUUCAUUUUCUUUAAUUGAUCUACUUCAAGCUCCAAUUGAUUGGUAUAAGCCUACCAUUACCAAACAAACAGAUACAUAUUAUAAGACCACAUAUCCAUAUAUAUACUUCUUGAAGUUCAUAAAUGAUUUCGCAUACACAUAUAUGUAUAUGUAUGUAUAUCAACCUGCUUCCUUGCCCGGGACCGUGCUGCGGAUUCUCGGUUCUUGAUCAUCCUCUUUUGCCUUCUCUCAAUAGUCUUCUCCAUCACAUCUGAAUAUCUGUGUUUCCUAGCAGCAGUUGGUUGAGAAUCGGAUGAUGUUGCUGACAUUGCAGGCAUUGGCAUUGUAAUAGCCAGUUGGUUCUCAUGGUACCCAACAUCUACAACUUGGUUCUCAUAAACUGACUCCGGAACAUUUAAAUUCGAAUCCAUCAUUGUCAUUUGUUGUUGUUGCUGAACGGCAGCCAUUUGGAACUGGAGCCAAUCAGCCUGUUGAGAAACCACGGGCAUCGGGUCAAUUGCCAUGAACUGUUGCGGAUGAAUGACACCAUCCUGGAUCCCACCAUUGAUCACACCGGCACGAACAAGGAAAUCCUCGAGCGUCGUCUCGCCGAGCGUCAGUUGGUGUUGAACGAAUCGGUUGUCCAUCGCAUUGACAUUGCCACCGCCGUUAUUAACUAUUUCCUUCCAAACCUCAUCAACGGUUUUCUUACUCAAUGUGCCAUUGAAAUUGAUGUUCCCAAGAAAGAAAGAAGCAGCAGAUGAUGAGGAAGAAGAUGAAGAUGGGUUUUGAACCAAUCCUCCUUCUUCAACAGCUAUCAAACUCCUCAACAACUCAUCCAAAUUCAUAGCAUUCAAUGGCUUCCCUAUCUUCCCCAGUUGGCUUUGAACCUCAUCAAAAGUGAGGUUAUAUAAAGAACUAAUUUGUGAAGCCAAAGGGGGAAAAUGUUGCCCCUCAGAUCUAUUAGGAGACAUCAUGAAUCUAUCUCCCAUUCACAAAUCAAUCAAUUUAAGAAAAUCCCAAGGAAAAUAACACUUGAAAAACAUCAACUCUAAUCUCAAUGACCCAAUAUUCAGAUCAGAGUUGAGUUGACUAAUAAAGUACUAAAUGGGGGAUCUGUAAACAGAUUCAAGUAGAGAAAUUUAACAAAGGGUUUGCAUCAAAUUGUGAAAAAAUGGGAAAAAAAAAGGAUUGGUGAAGUAGAUGGGAAGUUGAGAAGUGAAAGGCAUGUAAAGAGUGAAAUCUGAACCGCCAGGAAGAUCGAAGAAGGCGUUGGAAACGAUCUGGGAGAUGUGAAUUUGUUGUGGAGAGUCCUAUUUUUAGAGUUUUUUUUGUGUAUGAGAAAGUACUGCCAUGCCUGAUUUCCUUGCUAAUUUGUUGGGAUAGCCAUUAGAGAUUGAGACUUCCCCCUCCCCAAAAAACAGAGUCAAUUAAUGACCCAAACAACAAUUUAACUUCAUUUCAAUCCCUCUCCUUUCUGUGAAGGGGUUCUAAGGGAAUUGUUCAUCGACCGUUAUAGUCGUUAAAUCUGGAUGUUCUUGGCGGGGGGCCCGGCGAUGGAGCUCUGUCAUUUCAUUCGGCUUUGGGCCCUAAGCCCCGACUCUAACUUGAGAGCUUUGUUGUCAACCAAACCUAGUUUUUAAGAUUUAGACAUCAUUUAUGUUUGGAUUUUUGGAUUCAAUAGAAAAUGCAAAAAGCUUAAAUUUAGGGAUUAAUUGCACCAUGCAUUUUUAAAUUAUGAGUUAAAUUUUAAAUACUUCCUAAAUUUUAAAAUAUUUUAAUUGAAUCCUCAAACUAAAUCAAAAUCUUUUAUUAAUCUAUCAGUUAGUUUUAGCAUUAAAUGCUAACUUGAUUUGAGGUGAUUUCUUUUUAGAUACAUAUAGAUGAAGAAAAAUAUUUUUAAACACUAAAAGCUAACCUUUGACACUAAAGGUAAUGAUUAAAAUAACAAAAAAACCUUAUUGAAACAAUAUUUUAAUUGUCAACCACGCUUUCGCUCAAAGGCAAUAGUAAAGUUGAGGCUCUGGGAUCAUCUCAAGUUUGAGUUUCAAUAUAUGUAAAAUGUAUGUGUUCUCUUAGUUGAGUUAAUUAUUUAGUUAGUGCUUGUAAUUACUGAAUGCAUUGGAACUAUUAUAACUUUUUUUAAAAAUAAUUUGAUUUGAAAAUUCAAUUGAAAUAUUUUAAAGUUUGAAGAUAAAUUUGAUCUUUAAUUGGGGAUAAUUUAACCUUUUUUUUUAAACACGUAACGUCAUAUGGCACAUCCUCAUUGAUUGGGUGUGCUAUCUUUUUUUAAACAAAAUUAACUUUUUGGACUAAAUUUAGAAGGGAGGGAUAGUUUACCUACCAAAAUGGGACAAAAAAAUUAAAUACUAAAAUGAAAAAAUGAGUAUAACUCGAAAGCCAAAUCAUGAUAUAAGUCAAUUUUUGCUGCAAAUCUUAUAACAUUAUGCCUUGUUUGAUUAUCUAGUGUAUUUACACAAAAAAAAUCUUAAAUUAUUAUACAGAUAAACUUGAAAUUAGAA